rnacentral:rRNA from 1 species
GAUGAACGCUGGCGGCGUGCAUAACACAUUCAAGUCGAACGGUGAAGUGACUUCGGUCACGGAUCAGUGGCGGACGGGUGAGUAACGCGUGAAUAACCUGCCUGUAUGUGGGGGAUAACAACCGGAAACAGUUGCUAAUACCGCAUAAUGUAUAAGAGUCGCAUGUCUUUUAUACCAAAGAUUUAUUGCAUACAGAUGGAUUCGCGUCCGAUUAGAUAGUUGGUGAGGUAACGGCCACCAAGUCGACGAUCGGUAGCCGGACUGAGAGGUUGAACGGCCACAUUGGAACUGAGAUACGGUCCAAACUCCUACGGGAGGCAGCAGUGGGGAAUAUUGGGCAAUGGGCGCAAGCCUGACCCAGCAACGCCGCGUGAAGGAGAAGGUUUUCGGAUUGUAAACUUCUGUCCUUGAUGAAAAGCAGUAGAUGGUAAUCAAGGAGGAAGCCCCGGNUAACUACGUG